GAUGAACGCUGGCGGCGUGCCUAAUACAUGCAAGUCGAGCGAACGGACGAGAAGCUUGCUUCUCUGAUGUUAGCGGCGGACGGGUGAGUAACACGUGGAUAACCUACCUAUAAGACUGGGAUAACUUCGGGAAACCGGAGCUAAUACCGGAUAAUAUUUUGAACCGCAUGGUUCAAAAGUGAAAGACGGUCUUGCUGUCACUUAUAGAUGGAUCCGCGCUGCAUUAGCUAGUUGGUAAGGUAACGGCUUACCAAGGCAACGAUGCAUAGCCGACCUGAGAGGGUGAUCGGCCACACUGGAACUGAGGCACGGUCCAGACUCCUACGGGAGGCAGCAGUAGGGAAUCUUCCGCAAUGGGCGAAAGCCUGACGGAGCAACGCCGCGUGAGUGAUGAAGGUCUUCGGAUCGUAAAACUCUGUUAUUAGGGAAGAACAAAUGUGUAAGUAACUGUGCACAUCUUGACGGUACCUAAUCAGAAAGCCACGGCUAACUACGUG
rnacentral:rRNA from 1 species